rnacentral:tRNA from 1 species
GCACUGGUGGUCCAGUGGUAGAACCCUCCCUUUCCACGUGGGAGACCUAGGUUCGACUCCCGGCCGGUGUG